AUGAAGAAGUCUUUACUCUGCACACCACUGCUGACCCCAGAUAUGACCCACAGGAACUACUGGCGAAAGGAGCAAAAAGGGGAAAAGAAUUAUCUUCCUGAUGGUCUUGCGUCCUCUGUGCUGGAUCUGCAGCUGUUUUCCACCUGUAAACUUGCCACUUGUUGGUCAAGCUUUUCGGCACUUAUUCAAAUAAAAUUCUUAGGCACUCAGUUGAGAUUGGUAAUUUUUUUGUUUUGGUUGGCAUAAGAACUGAAGAAAACAUGCCCAGAUCAGGGACCAGCCAACAUCCUCUUUAACUGCAGCCAGCAGAACCGAUGUGCUUUGGAUACAGCUAACAAAUAUUGGAGGCCUGAGAGGAUACCGUUCGUUUUUCCUUCUCUGACCUGCUAGUACUGCUUCACUCCCCUGCUCUGUGCAAGCAGGUAGGAACUCUGAGCUUCUUUUUACACAGCCCAGGAAGAUGCAAUGUCCUUUUCUAUCUGAAGCUGCUGAAUCUGCCAUAUACCAGGUUCACCACAUUACUAACACAGCGUUGAGCCUGAUCCUGCUAGAAGAAGCAUUUCUGUAGACAGUAUUUGGGCCACAUCAGGACUACAGUGUUAGCAAUGAAUAAGGUAGAGAAAAUAAUGGUGCUUUUGUAUCCUGAUGUGUAUCCUCUGUCCAAUACUGAUAAGCAUAUUACUGAUAAUAUGGCCAUAAUUCUGGUUAUAGUACAGUUCUCCUUGACACUCCCAUUGUUCAUACUCCAGUCUCCCAAAUAAGUGAGGUUGAAUUAGGCUUAUUACUGUUUUUCACUCUUAGAUUACCCUCUUAGUGUACUGGACUCCAGCCCCUUUAAUUAAAAGCUUGUGAACAUGCAUCCCAUAAAUAAUUUCUCACCUUCACAGCUGUUUUUUUUUUUUUUUUUUUCUUUUUUUUUUUUUUUUCUUUUUAAACGGAGCUAAUUGAUGUUUUUGAGAAAACAUUUUCCUAUUCUUUUCCUACUGUUAUGAUUCUCUUCAAUUUUUCAGUUCUGGAAACACUACCAUGACUUAUUCAUUUUGCAAUCAUAGAGACAUUUCCUAAAAUGUAUAGAAACAGUUUCUCAGUGAACAUGUACAAUUUUUCAUCUCUCAUUAAAGACCAUAAAUUUUUAUCCCAGCUACUCAUCAGAUAGUAUUGAUAAUUACUUUUGUUAACCAAC
rnacentral:lncRNA from 1 species